rnacentral:tRNA from 1 species
GGAGAGGUGGCUGAGUGGUCGAAAGCGGCACACUGCUAAUGUGUUGUCCGGGUUAUACUCGGACCGCGGGUUCGAAUCCCGCCCUCUCCGCCA